UAAGCAACCUACCCUUGACUCCGGGAUAACAGUUGGAAACAGCUGCUAAUACCGGAUACGACCUCGACCGACAUCAGUUGAGGUGGAAAGUUCUGGCGGUUCAAGGAUGGGGCUCGCGGCCUAUCAGCUAGUUGGUGAGGUAACGGCUCACAAGGCUUCGGACGGGUAGCCGGCCUGAGAGGGCGACCGGCCACACGUGGGACUGGAGAGUACCGGCCCAGACCUCCGUACGGGNGGCAGCGAGGUAGGGUAA
rnacentral:rRNA from 1 species